GAUGCCCCCCACACCACACGUCCGCGACCGCGACGCCGCGACGCUACCGCCACCGCCACCGCCACCGCCACCACCACCACCACCACCCGGCCAUGGCCACGCUGCUCCCCUCGUUUCCGCACGCCCUCUCCAAGCCCCGCCACCUCCACCACCACUCUCGCGUCGCCGCCGCCUNNNNNAGGCCCGAGGCCCCGAGCCCCGCCUCCGCGGCCCCCGCCAGCUCCCGCCUCCGCCGCCUCAUCGCGCGCGACGACCUCGCCGAGGCCGCGCGCCUCGUCGAGACCUCCACCUCCCGCGGCGAGGCGCCCGACGUCUACCUCUGCACCAAGCUCAUCCGCAACCUCUGCCGCCGCGGCCGCACCUCCGACGCCGCGCGCGUCCUCCGCACCGCCGAGGCCUCCGGCGCCCCGGUCGACGUCUUCGCCUACAACACCCUCGUCGCGGGAUACUGCCGCUACGGCCGCCUCGACGCCGCGCGCCGCCUCAUCGCCGAAAUGCCCGUCCCGCCCGACGCCUACACCUACACGCCCAUCAUCCGGGGCCUCUGCGACCGCGGCAGGAUCGGCGACGCGCUCGCCCUGCUCGACGAUAUGCUCCAGCGCGGCUGCCAGCCCAGCGUCGUCACCUACACCGUCCUCCUCGAGGCCGUCUGCAAGAGCAGCGGCUUCGGGGAGGCCAUGAACGUCCUCGACGAGAUGCGCGCCAAGGGCUGCACGCCCAACAUUGUCACCUACAAUGUCAUCAUCAACGGCAUGUGUAGGGAGGGUCGCGUCGACGAUGCCAGGGAGAUCCUGAACCGGCUGUCGUCCUAUGGGUUCCAGCCCGACAUCGUCAGUUACACCACCGUGCUCAAGGGCCUGUGUGCCGCUAGGCGGUGGGACGACGUCAAGGUGCUCUUUGCUGAGAUGGUGGAGAAGAACUGCGUGCCCAAUGAGGUUACCUUUGACAUGCUAGUCAGAUUCUUCUGUCGCGGGGGUAUGGUGGAGAGGGCAAUCGAAGUUCUUCAGCAAAUGUCACAGCAUGGAUGCACACCCAACACUACCUUGUGCAACAUUGUCAUAAACGCUAUGUGUAAACAAGGUCGUGUGGAUGAUGCCUAUAACUUCUUGGACAACAUGGGCAUAUAUGGGUGCAAUCCUGAUACCAUUAGCUAUACUACUGUGCUAAGGGGCUUGUGUCGCUCCGGACGAUGGGAGCAUGCCAAGGAGCUAUUGCCCGAGAUGGUCCGAAAGAACUGUCCCCCAAAUGAGGUUACAUUCAAUACAUUCAUAUGUAUCUUGUGCCAGAAAGGAUUGAUUGAGCCAGCUAUCAAGCUUAUUGAACUGAUGCCAGAGUAUGGAUGUUCAGUGGGUAUUGUCACAUACAACGCUCUUGUCCAUGGCUUCUGUGUGCAAGGGCGUGUUGAUAGUGCUCUUGAGUUGUUUAACAAUCUUCCAUGUGAGCCCAACACCAUUACAUACACUACGUUGUUGACAGGCUUGUGCCAUACCGAGCAGCUGGAUGCUGCUGCAGAGCUCUUGGCUGAGAUGAUUCAGAAGGAUUGCCCUCUAAAUGCAGUGACUUUCAAUGUACUUGUGAGUUUCUUCUGUCAAAAAGGGUUUGUCGAGGAAGCAAUCGAACUUGUGUAUCAAAUGAUGGAGCAUGGCUGCACCCCUAACCUGAUCACAUUUAAUACUUUACUUGAUGGGAUUACCAAGGAUUGCAACUCAGAAGAAGCGCUGGAGCUAUUGCAUGGUUUGGUCAGUAAGGGAGUAUCCCUAGAUACGAUAACCUACUCUUCAGUCGUUGAUGUCCUCUCAAGAGAAGAUAGAACUGAAGAAGCCAUUCAGAUGUUUCAUGCCGUGCAAGAUAUGGGGAUGAGACCAAAAGCUGGGAUGUAUAACAAGAUACUGUUCUCCCUCUGUAAAAGAUGUGAAACAGAUCAGGCUAUUGAUUUUUUUGCUUAUAUGGUGUCUAACGGUUGCAUGCCUAACGAGCCGACCUACAUUAUACUCAUUGAAGGCCUUGCCCAUGAGGGUCUGUUGAAGGAGGCACGAUAUGUACUGAGUGAGUUGUACGCGAAAGGAGUUCUAAGCAAGAGUUUACUUGAAGACCAGCACUAAGGUUGUGCUUCACACUGCAUAUGCCUUAUUAUCGAAGAGUGAGAAAGAAAUGUGCAUAUGCCUUGAGUCAUGAGGUUUUGGUGCUUAUUAAAUUCUGUUGAGUCUCCAUGGGCCUCAUUUACAGCAAGUUGGAAUCGGGUGGCACGCUUUACGUGUGUGCUUCAAGCUACAGUGAUCCAUAAAGAUGGGAUAGGUCUUUGAAGUGUGAAGACCAAGGAAAUCAAAAGGACGGUCUGGAGGAUAACACAAGCAAAUAAGAUAAAAGCAUGUUCAUACUUAUAACGGCCGAAUAAAAGAUACAGGCCAAUAAAGUUUCUUAGAAACAAUUCUCAGUUUCAGCAGUUUGAGACUAAAUUGUUGAAUUAUUUGACUAUACUUCUCCGUGUUUAUAAACAUUUUGGUUUGUCUUCCAUGAGCAAUGGUUUCCCUGACUGAAUAUUCACAUGUCAAGAGUACUGCAAGUGAGGAAAAUAUAAUGUCAGCUGGAUCUAUUUUUAAUCUAUAAACAGGCUAUCUACGGAUACCAAUUUCAUCAUCAAGAAUUGCAUAUUGGGCAUGACGUGAGAUACCAUUUACAGGUUGGCUGUUGUUCGAACACCUAUACCCUUCGUUGUCUGCAGCAAAGGGCAAAGGUUCAGAGUGAGCCUCAUGUUCUUUUUUGGGCUACAAAGUUGGAACCGCAGUUCGAUGGCUCAUAAGUCAUAUGAUGGUUCAUCACUUACCAGUUAUACCUAUACUGCUCUAGUGUCUACGGUGACAUGAGUGCAUUGCAGGGCUAAACUAAAAACUACCGUGUAUAUCCUACAAGAUUUGGUUCAGUUUGUUGCAUAUUGAUUGGUUCUAAUUCAUCUGUUCAAAGCAUCAUAUGUAAGUUCACUGGCCUCUGUUUUAAAAUUAGUUCCGCAAAACCAUUUAAAUGAAGGAAAAACAAGAUGCAAGCAAGCUGGUAAUAGGAAAUCAGGAUAGACUUACAUCACAUUACAUUUUGCUGAGCUUCUAUCUCGUGGUUUAUAGGAUUAUUAUGUAGCUUGUCUGCAACGGUUCAGAGCUGGGCAAUGACAAAAAGUAUUUCUAAUCAGUAGCCUGCACAUAAACAAGCAACUCUUCCAUGUGAAUAUGUGAUCAUCUGGCAUCUUUGGAUUCAAGACCUGUACAGAAUUCUGUAGUAGUUCUAUUAAGAAGAUAUUUUCUCCAAAUGAAUGAUACCACCAAAAUUCCCAUGGACUGUUCUUUUCACAAACCCAAUCCUUUAUUAGGAAUCAUGGCAAGAGGUUAGAUUUCAUGCUUUGUGUUUUCUCUCUUCGGAUUCAUGUAUAGAUUCCGAAAGGCCAUGUAGGGUAAAUAUUGUAGGAUUCAGGGAGCCAUGACAUCCUUUUUUUAUAUAAUCAGGAGCCAUGACAUCCUUUUUUAUAUAAUCAGGAGCCAGGACACCCUAAUCCUACAUUUUAGUUUAGAAUCCAAUGCGAUGAUCAAACUUGUUAAUGGCGUGACAAAUUACGGUUUAUAUAAGGUUAAAUACCUUUAUGGGUUAUGACUGUUGUUUCUUAGUUUAUGU
rnacentral:rRNA from 1 species